rnacentral:rRNA from 1 species
GUGUCAGCCGCCGCGGUAAUACGGAGGGGGCUAGCGUUGUUCGGAAUUACUGGGCGUAAAGCGCACGUAGGCGGACCAUCAAGUUGGGGGUGAAAUCCCGGGGCUCAACCCCGGAACUGCCUCCAAAACUGCUGGUCUGGAGGUCGAGAGAGGUGAGUGGAAUUCCGAGUGUAGAGGUGAAAUUCGUAGAUAUUCGGAGGAACACCAGUGGCGAAGGCGGCUCACUGGCUCGAUACUGACGCUGAGGUGCGAAAGCGUGGGGAGCAAACAGGAUUAGAAACCCCGGUAGUCC